AGAGUUUGAUCCUGGCUCAGAACGAACGCUGCGGCAUGGAUUAGGCAUGCAAGUCGAACGGAGAACCGGAGCUUGCUCCGGGGAUCAGUGGCGAAAGGGUGAGUAACGCGUGAGUAACUUACCCCCAAGUUGGGAAUAACUCCUUGAAAGAGGGGCUAAUACCGAAUGUGGAUCAUAUUUCGCAUGUGAAAUGAUCUAAAGAUUUAUCGCUUGGGGAUGGGCUCGCGUCCCAUUAGUUAGUUGGUGGGGUAAUGGCCUACCAAAGCAACGAUGGGUAGCUGGUCUGAGAGGACGAUCAGCCACACUGGGACUGAGACACUGCCCAGACUCCUACGGGAGGCUGCAGUCGAGAAUCUUCCGCAAUGGGCGAAAGCCUGACGGAGCAAUGCCGCGUGCAGGAUGAAGGCCUUCGGGUUGUAAACUGCUGUCACCGGGGACGAAACAAUGACGGUACCCGGAGAGGAAGCCACGGCUAACUACGUGCCAGCAGCCGCGGUAAUACGUAGGUGGCGAGCGUUGUUCGGAUUUAUUGGGCGUAAAGGGUCCGCAGGGGGUCUGCUAAGUCUGAUGUGAAAUCUCAUGGCUCAACCAUGAAACUGCAUUGGAAACUGACAGACUAGAGUAUCGGAGAGGAAAGUGGAAUUCCAGGUGUAGCGGUGGAAUGCGUAUAUCUGGAGGAACACCAACAGCGAAGGCAGCUUUCUGGACGAUUACUGACCCUCAUGGACGAAAGCGUGGGUAGCAAACAGGAUUAGAUACCCUGGUAGUCCACGCUGUAAACGUUGUGUACUUGAUGUGGGGGGAUUUAGCCCCCUCCGUGUCGGAGCUAACGCGUUAAGUACACCGCCUGGGGACUACGGCCGCAAGGCUAAAACUCAAAGGAAUUGACGGGGACCCGCACAAGCGGUGGAGCAUGUGGCUCAAUUCGAGGCAACGCGAAGAACCUUACCUGGGUUUGAAAUAUAUCUGACGUCCGUUGAAAGGCGGAUUUCCUUCGGGACGGAUAUACAGGUGCUGCAUGGCUGUCGUCAGCUCGUGCCGUGAGGUGUUCGGUUAAGUCCGGCAACGAGCGCAACCCGUGUCGUUAGUUGCUACCAGGUAAUGCUGGGCACUCUAGCGAAACUGCCCGUGUUAAGCGGGAGGAAGGCGCGGAUGACGUCAAGUCCGUAUGGCCCUUAUGUCCAGGGCUGCACACGUGCUACAAUGGCCGGUACAAUGGGAAGCAAUACUGCGAAGUGGAGCAAAUCCUCAAAACCGUCCUUAGUUCGGAUUGGAGUCUGCAACUCGACUCCAUGAAGCCGGAAUCGCUAAUAAAGGCGUAUCGGCUACGACGCCUUGAAUACGUUCCCGGGUCUUGUACACACCGCCCGUCACAUCAUGGAAGCUGACUGCACCCGAAGUCGUUACCCAACCUGUUUUAAAUGGGAGGGAGACGCCGAAGGAGUGGUCAGUAACUGGGAUGAAGUCGUAACAAGGUA
rnacentral:rRNA from 1 species